CCCUUAGAUGUUCUGGGCCGCACGCGCGCUACAAUGGUCUUCGCAAACGGAUGCAUUCUCGAAGGAGAAUGCCAAUCUUGGAAUCUAUGCCUUGGUCGGGACAGUUGCUUGCAAUUUUUCGACUCGUACCAGGAAUUCCUUGUAAUCGUGAUUCAUCACAUCACGAUGAAUACGUCCCUGCCCUUUGUACACACCGCCCGUCGCUCCUACCGAUCGAAGAGUUAGGUGAAUUGUUUUGAUCGAUAAGAUUUGACUAUGGUCAACUCUCGUUGUGAAAUUCUGUGAAUCUGACUGUUUAGAGGAAGGAAAAGUCGUAACA
rnacentral:rRNA from 1 species